rnacentral:rRNA from 1 species
CUACGUGCCAGCAGCCGCGGUAAUACGUAGGUCCCGAGCGUUGUCCGGAUUUAUUGGGCGUAAAGCGAGCGCAGGCGGUUAGAUAAGUCUGAAGUUAAAGGCUGUGGCUUAACCAUAGUACGCUUUGGAAACUGUUUAACUUGAGUGCAAGAGGGGAGAGUGGAAUUCCAUGUGUAGCGGUGAAAUGCGUAGAUAUAUGGAGGAACACCGGUGGCGAAAGCGGCUCUCUGGCUUGUAACUGACGCUGAGGAGCGAAAGCGUGGGGAGCGAACGGGAUUAGAUACCCCGGUAGUCCUGGCCGUAAACGAUGGGUACUAGGUGUAGGAGGUAUCGACCCCUUCUGUGCCGGAGUUAACGCAAUAAGUACCCCGCCUGGGGAGUACGACCGCAAGGUUGAAACUCAAAGGAAUUGACGGGGGCCCGCACAAGCGGUGGAGUAUGUGGUUUAAUUCGACGCAACGCGAAGAACCUUACCAGGUCUUGACAU